GUGUGUGUGUGUGUGUGUGUGUGUGUGUGUGUGUGAAUCAUGCAACAACAUGGUUUCAUAUCACAGACUGCAAACGAAGGGAUUUACAGUGGCAUAAGGACGAUUGAGGCUCAAGGACGGGGGAGGCGGAUACCAGCGGCAGCCUUGACAUCAAGCAUUAGGCCGUCAGUGAAGCGAGGCAGUCAUCUCGUUAUGAUCCAUGAAUCUUAUCAGUUUCUUCUCACCGGCAAAGAAUCUUCAGAUCAAAAACGUUGUGACUUCUAUAGACUUAGAGAAAGGUUCCUGCCCUACCUUUUAUCUACCAUUGUGCAAAAAGGGAGCCUCCUGAAAACACCUAUGAGUCUGAGAAUCCUCUCUCUCAACGAGGCGGGUCUUUAUCGUCACUGGCUACGCACGACAUCCCUCAAGUCCACAGCCUGCCUCAACCCUCCCAGUACAUAUACAGUCAACACAACCAUUGCCUUGAC